UGAUCCCUCCCACACUUUGUUAAGGCCACCCCCUGCUUUAACUCGGUUAAUUCUGGGUUUUACAGCAUGUGUAGGAGGGCCCAUAGUCAAAUUUGAAAAACCCUCUAAAAGCCACAAGAGGAUUGUAGUUGACAGUUACUCAGGACAUCAUAGGGCACAUCUAUGCUGAGCACUUAAUCUGGGACCUGUCUAGAACAGUAUACCUCAGACUGCCCCAGCUGAAUCUUCAACAACACAACAGUUGUGUACAGCUGAUACAGCCAGGCUGAGACUGCAGCAUCCCUGCUGAACCAUCCACUAGUUCUUCAUGUUAGUUACCACUGCUGCUCAUGGCUGACAACAUACCUCUUUACUAUUGUGGUCUAGGCUGUCUGAAAGACCACAUUGUGCUAUGCAAGCUUGACCAGGAUUUCAGAUCUUCAAGGAAGGGUCUUGUCUUAAAUCAUCAAGUUCUACAAGGAUAUCUGGAAUUUCCCCUUAGCACUACAAAUAGUGGUGGCAGCAACUGAGCUGGAGGUCUGGUAUCCAUAAUGAAUCUUGUCUCAUUCUGGGCCAUUUUAAGAAGAAAUGGCACUUGUCACAAAGAACAGCAGAUCAUAUUCCAAGAAUAUUUUGCACAUUUUCUUUUUUUCUAGGAAAUUAGAAAGAGAUUAAUGUCUGCUUUUUGGCUGGGAAAUAUUGUGAGAAAUUGGUUAAUCCCUAGUUUACAAACACACCAGAGCACCUCCAGUUAAAGAUCUGGAAAAAGAAACAUAGGAAAGUCAGUAUUUUCUUGCUUUGCUUGUGGCUGUCCUCUUGAAUGCAAAAUAUCAUAUUAGAUGGACCUUGACAUCAUCCAUCAAAGUAAUGCUUGCCUUAUUAUGAACUUUCAGUCUCACUCAAACAAGACUAGCAACAAUCUUAAAAACAUUCAGUUUAAAUGCAUGAUGGUAAAAAAAAAAAUCAAUUGAUAGUUGGCUACCUUUUUCUAAAGAUAUGAGACUUGUGAUAUUAUCACUGAUUUUGGCAAAAUAAAUGAUCACCUUGGGGCACUGGAUUUUUGGAUGAAUAUCAUAGUAACCAACACCCAUAUGAAUACACAGUUCUUCAAUAGACUAGGAAUCAGGCC
rnacentral:lncRNA from 11 species